rnacentral:rRNA from 1 species
GAUGAACGCUGGCGGCGUGCCUAAUACAUGCAAGUCGAGCGAACGGACGAGACGCUUGCUUCGCUGAUGUUAGCGGCGGGCGGGUGAGUCACACGUGGAUAACCGACCUAUAAGACUGGGAUAAGUUCGGGAAACCGGAGCUAACACCGGAUAAUAUUGUGAACCGCAUGGUUCAAAGGUGCACGAGGUACUUGCUGACCCUAGUACGGGUAUCCUGGCUGCAUUAGCUAGUUGGUAAGGUAACGGCUUACCAAGGCAACGAUGCAUAGCCGACCUGAGAGGGUGAUCGGCCACACUGGAACUGAGACACGGUCCAGACUCCUACGGGAGGCAGCAGUAGGGAAUCUUCCGCAAUGGGCGAAAGCCUGACGGAGCAACGCCGCGUGAGUGAUGAAGGUCUUCGGAUCGUAAAACUCUGUUAUUAGGGAAGAACAUAUGUGUAAGUAACUGUGCACAUCUUGACGGUACCUAAUCAGAAAGCCACGGCUAACUACGUG